CGUACCAACACGAAUACGUCCGUCUGGUUUCCUGCGUUCCUGUUUCCAGAGAAAUUUAGUGAUUUAUUUCCAUAUUUCUGGGUUUAUUCCAGCUAACCUUCUCCGUCCGGAACCCCGAACCUUUGCGUCGACCACCCCAGGACAACACGAUGCUCUCACCGAGGUUAGUGAUGCUGCGAUCAGCUGCAUCCAUGAUGAGCAGGUCUCUGUGUGCAGCAGCAUCCCACGGCAGGGCUCCAGACAUGGCUGAUGGAAAUCCACUGUUGCACGUGUCAAACGUCAGAAACAGACUGAGAGAGAUCGUGGGAGCUUCAACAAACUGGAGCGACCAUCAGCAGGCCAUGGCAGAGCGCACAACGCUGUCGUCCAUGUUGGCCAAGUCUCAAAGCGAUCUCCCUGCUAAGAGGAUGCAGGACAGUUUCCUGGAGGUCCAUCUUCCUCUGGGGUCGGAGCCGCAGCUCAGAGAGAAGUACCUGACGUAUCACAACACCGUCAGGUUUGGACGAAUCCUGGAGGAUUUGGACAGUUUAGCAGUUCUCAUUUCCUACUCGCACACCUACAACCCGGCGCUGAGGAGGUCUCCUCUGUCCAUCGUCACGGCGCUGGUGGAUAAGAUCGACAUGAGGCAACACGUCAUCUACCCCGACUGUGACAUCAAGUUCACGGGUCAUGUGACCUGGGUGGGGAAGACGUCCAUCGAAGCAAAGAUGCACAUGUCACAGGUAAACGUGUGGUGUGGUGAGGGACGCGGCCGGAUCCGCGCGUCACCGCUGCUGAUCCGGAAACAGUUCUGUUCAAACCGUAGAGACUUCACUCCAAAGAUAUGUUCAAUCCGCCCGUCUCGUCCUGCAGUUCCGAGACGGGUCGUACGCCCCGGUUCUGGACGCUACGUUUGUCAUGGUGGCCCGAGACCCGGAAAACAAAAGGGCGGCGUUUGUAAAUCCGCUGAAGCCCGACGGCGCAGCGGAGGAGAAGCUCCUCCAGGAGGGAGAAACCAACAGACAUCGUCGUGUGGAGCUGAGCACGGCGUCGCUGCUGAAGGUCGCUCCGACCGACGCGGAGAGGAAGAUCGUUCACGACCUGUUCCUCAACACUCUGGACCCAAAGUGAGACCUCAGACGUCCUCUCUGUCCAGAACCACAGACGGUUACGGGUCAGGAUCUCCUCCGUCACGGUUCUGUUAUUCAUCUGAUCCCGGUCUCCGUCGUUUUCAGCACCGUCAGUUUCCGCAGCAGGAUUUUACCUCCAAACUCGGUUUGGAUGGAAGACGCCAAACUGAAAGGUCUGGAGAUCUGCCAUCCUCAGCAAAGGAACAUCUUCAACCGGAUCUUUGGAGGAUUCCUGAUGAGGAAAGCCUACGAGCUGGGCUGGGCCAACGCCUGCUCCUACGGAGGGUGCCGACCCACCCUGGUGGCCGUGGACGACAUUCUCUUCCAGAAACCCGUGGAGAUCGGCUCCUUGUUGAUGCUGUCGUCACAGGUGUGCUUCACUCAGGGGAAGUUCAUCCAGGUCAGAGUUCACAGCGAGGUGUUUGACCCGCUGACUCGGCAGCACAGCACCACCAACAUCUUCCACUACACCUUCGCUUCAGACCGUGACGUUCCCAACAUCGUUCCCAAGACCUACGGAGAGUCGAUGCUCUACCUGGAUGGAAAGAGACACUUCAACCAGACGGUGGAAUCCUGAGAAUUCCCAGAUGUUCCUGCUGAAGCUCCCCCAGCCAGAAACAAACCACAGGAGUGUUUAACUUACAGCUUUACGCCUUUUUAUAAUGCACUUUUACACCAUGUUGGCUUCCAUUCAGUUACAUUUUAAUGUAUAUUUUUAUUUUUGCUUGAAUAUAUUCCAUCUUUUAGUUCUUUUUAAAACACAGAAAGGUUUUAUUUACCUGCAGCGUUUCGUUUGCGGCUGUCAGCCGCAAACGAAACGCUGCAGGUAAAUAAAACCUUUCUGUGUUUUAAAAAGAACUAAAAGAUGGAAUUAGAGUUUCAACACAGCAAAGAUGCUUGAAUAUAUUAUUCCUGCUGUGAGGAGAUGUGGGCUCAAGGCAACAAACAAGUAAAUAAAUAAAUGAAUAAAUAAAUGAUCUCUGUUUCAUA